GCAGCCUCUAGGUUUUUGUUGUGUAGCAUUUGCUUAUAAUGUGUGUUUGUUUGUUUUGUAGAUUUGUUAAUCUCUGAUUCAGCGUUAUAUCAGAGUCUUCGCCCUCAACUUCCUGGCCUUCUGCUUUUUUAUGCAGACUGAAGCAGAGGUCUGGACAUGUGGACGGACGUUUGCUGCGGACAGGCGGCAGAAGCGCGUUCACUUUCCCUCAGACCGACAACCUGCAGCUCCUGAACAACAGAAGAGGAGCACAGACGACGCCCACUUCAUAUACACGUGAGUCGCUGAAUGAAAACAAACUGUAAACUGCUUUAUUUACACACACCAUGUUUACUAAACACCCGUAUUCGUUUGGAUAAUAUAUAGCCAACAAAUGAGGUAAUAAAAUAUGGCGACGUUGUUGUGUAUAAUGUGUGUAAAAACAAUGGCUUCUCACUUUGAGUUUCUGGAAAUGUUUACUAAAGGCUUCGAGUGAACAUGACAACAUUUGUAGUUACUGUUUCACAGAAUCUACAAACUAAACACAGUAGCCAUGGCAAAAGAAAUGUGACCUGCAAAACAUUCAUGAAAUUGUAAAGCUUUAUAAAUCACUAUCAUACAGAAGUGGUUAAAAUAUUAAGCUGCUGUUUGUGUUUGCAAGUUAUUUUUUUCAUUGUACACGUCUGUCUACCAAAUAAAGCACAGAAAGGACUAUAGUUUAAUCCAUUUGUUGUUUAAAUAAACAUGAUGUUAUGAGUGUUCAUAGAUAUAUACAUGAGUGUUUAUGUGCUGUCAAACAAUUUGAUUGACUGUUGAAUCUGACCAAUAAGGGUGGACAUCUGUAAUGCAUCUCCCAACUCAUUGGUUGUUGCACACAAGGGGCGGGGCUUACUAAAACAGUAGAACCAAUAGCAAUGCAGAGAAAAGAAACAAAAACCUCUGAUACUUAUAAAAAUAUGUUUUUAAACGUGAAAAGUGCAAAUUAGAUAUAAAAAUACAAACAAACAAAUAAUAAACAAA
rnacentral:lncRNA from 1 species